rnacentral:tmRNA from 1 species
GGGGCUGAUGUGGUUUCGACUACGUGAGUUGACGCAGGGGAAGCGUGCCGGUGCAGGCCGACGACCACCGUGAGCGUCGUGGCAACCAAUUAAGCGCCGAUACCAAUCAGCGCGACUACGCCCUCGCUGCCUGAUAGCGAGCCCGUAGUCUGUCGGCCCGGGGUCGCCCUCGCCCCGGUCCCCGGCAUCAUCUAGAGGGAUCACCGGCUCACCCGGUCACGGGGUGGGUCGGGACAUCCAACAGUGACUGGGAUCGUCAUCGCCGAGGAGUCCGCGCCAGGGCGAGAUCCGAGUAGAGGCCAGAUGCGGACUGCGCACGGAGAAGCCCUGCCGACGCUGCGGAGGACCCGGGUUCAAUUCCCGGCAGCUCCACCA